rnacentral:lncRNA from 1 species
UGUAACGCCCCAAAAAUGAAAACUCAAUAAAACAAGUGAGGAUAAAUAACAAACUUAACAUAAUUAAGGAUUUAUGGCAAGAUGGUAGUGAAAUGUAGUUUAAAGAUUAGAUUUGUAAUUAGCAACUAAGUGAAGGGGGUAAAGUGCAAAGUGGUUAAACUUAAAUUAGUUAAAAAAAAAAAAACAAACUAAACCCCAAACACAGUGAGUGUGUCUGGGGGAACGAUCGAACAAGGAAGGAGGAGGGGGAAACCCUAAACUCAAGAAAUCAGGCAAUUGAAGCCUAAAAUCAUAAGAAAAUCCAGUGCAUGAGCCAUCUUAUCGAUCAUCUAAGCAUACCUAGUGAAGUGCUUGAAAGAAUAAGAACCAUGUCAAGAUGGACCAACUCAUGGGAAGCAAACGGGUCAAAGAGGAGGCAAAGAAACUAGCAUAAACAUGACGAGCACAAGGUUAUGAAUGUCGGACUUUCAAAGUGUUGAUAUAAUAAUGAAACGGUUGAAUCUUGAAAGGAUAAUCGGAUUGAAGUAACUUAUGCGGUUAGAAUAUGCUGUGGACGUUUUAGUUUAUACAACAUUUUAUGUUUGGUCGUCAUCAUCUACCAACGGGUAAAUCCUCAAUUCAGGCGACUUGGAGAAUCGGAGCGAGCGCGUGUUCAUGUUAUGUCAUACCAAACGCUUCCGCUAGCUUGUUCAAAUGUUUUUAGUCCAAAAUUUGUUGUAUUGGUUCUUAGUAGUAUUUUGUCGAAUGAAUCGUAGAAUUGUAUCUAGUUUGAUUAUGUUUAAAACAGGGGAAUGCUCGUUUUAUGGACGGGUCAUGCCCAAUUUUUGUUAAAUUAAUGCACCUGCGUUAUUGAUAUUAUCAUUUAAA